rnacentral:rRNA from 1 species
UACGAAGGGGGCGAGCGUUGUUCGGAAUUACUGGGCGUAAAGGGCGCGUAGGCGGCCCGCUAAGUCGAACGUGAAAUCCCCGAGCUCAACUCGGGAACUGCGUCCGAUACUGGCGGGCUUGAAUCCGGGAGAGGGAUGCGGAAUUCCAGGUGUAGCGGUGAAAUGCGUAGAUAUCUGGAGGAACACCGGUGGCGAAGGCGGCAUCCUGGACCGGCAUUGACGCUGAGGCGCGAAAAGCUAGGGGAGCAAACGGG